CAAACAGAUUCAGUACCAUCCGAGCAAUCUUCAACUCCUCCCUGAGCGAGCAAGCUUCCUGCCUGAGAAACUGCAUCUCUGCCUCUCUCGCCCUCAGAAUCACCUGCCACAAAUGAGAAAAGCAGGCGCUCAUGGGUCAGCUGAGAGUUUUCCAGACAUUUCUGAGUGUGCUGAACCGACAACGUCUCGAGCUCCUUCUGCAACACCUCCAGCUCCUCCCUGCAGGGGGCGGAGCAAAACAACAAACAUACAGACGAUGGUUUACCUGCCAUCGUGGCGGCCGACUCCUCCUGCAGCAGCUGGUCUUUCUCCUUCAGUAGAGCGUCCACCUCCUGCUGAUGCUGCUGCUGCAGGUCACCCAUCAGCUGUCUGUGCGUCUCCUCCAAAGCGGUGAUGCUUUCAUCAGAUGGGGCCUACAUUCAAAUGACAAAUCAUUCUUCUGCUGAGAUUUCUGCAGAGCGUCAGACUUAUGUGAGUGUGGCUGCUGCUCUGUCACAGAGCUGUGGGAACACCAGAGACAGGACUGGGCCUCACAUUCUUCAACACGGCGUGGACCAGGUUACGUCUCAUCCCAGAGGUCAUUGCACAGAUGCUGAUGACAUUCAGAGGUGGAGACCAGCGAGGACGAGGACUCUGCAGGCUCAGAGGAGCUGCGUGUUUUCAUCUUCUCAGCAUCGUCACCGUGACACAGGUCGCUGUUAGUCCUUCAAAGACAGAG